GGUGUGUGUCUGAAUGCGAGUGUGUGUGUGUGUGUGUGUGUUUGAAUGUGAGUGUGUGUUAAAAGUGAGUGUGUCUGUGUGACCGAGAGAAGGGGAGGGAGAUUGUGUGAAUUGUACGUCCACACAUAAUAACGUGGGAUAAAUUUAUGUCGGACACAAGGACUCCUGUCUUGGGCAUUGGGUGUGGGAUUUUAAUCAUAUGCGCUUCAGACGAGAAUUUAUUUGCUCAUUUACAUGUUUGACAGAGGCACAGUUAAGGGACUGGCAGUGACAGUUUUUUUGUAUUAAUGUAUAACUUGUAUAAAUUUUAUAUGCAGAGAUAGUUGUAGAUGAGAGCAAAUAUGUACAAUGAAUACGAAUGCACCAGUAAGAAAAAAAGAGAACGACCCUCAUCCAGUUAGUAUGAUCGAGAGGUGACACACACUGGGAUGCUCACACACCUCCCAGACUAUACUUUCAGUAUGUCUGGAGAAGGUUCAAAUAACACACACCUCCCAGACUAUACUUUCCGUAUGUCUGGAGAAGGUUCAAAUAACACACACCUCCCAGACUAUACUUUCAGUACGUCUGGAGAAGGUUCAAAUAACACACACCUCCCAGACUAUACUUUCAGUACGUCUGGAGAAGGUUCAAAUAACACACACCUCCCAGACUAUACUUUCAGUACGUCUGGAGAAGGUUCAAAUAACACACACCUCCCAGCCUAUACUUUCAGUACGUCUGGAGAAGGUUCAAAUAACACACACCUCCCAGACUAUACUUUCAGUACGUCUGGAGAAGGUUCAAAUAACUAUUUGCUCCCAAAGCUUUGAGGAUUAGUGGCCGGCGGAGUCUGAAUAAAAAAAAGAGUGAUGGGCCUUUUAUUCCAAAUACUGUGUGGUAGCAGCGUUUAAAGGCUGUGCACUGAGGACCGUCUUUAGAGAGGCCGUUUGAAAAUAAACUAGGGAUCAAAAAGGGUUACUUAUGAAUACACACCUCUAGGAAAACACAGAAAUCAUGUUUUAAUACGUGUUCAGUGUGCUUUUUCUUUCCUAAAGAUGUACGUGCUACAUUUGACAUUUUAUUCAAAAGGCUCUGAAUUGUUUCACUGAACCAAUGAAGUCGUUUCAUGUUGAUGUGUCACCAUGGCAGCACCGUCACCACGCGUGCGCGGGAAUAGAAGCACUGAAGGACAGGAGUGAGGGCUGAAAUGCUGCCGAUUAGUUUUUACACCCGUGGAUAUCUGACAUCUGGAAUAGGAAUACAUCUAUUCCAGCUCAUGUUCUGUGUGGCUUAUCAAUGCUAAUGUGUGUGAUGAUGGUGUGUUGGCAAACUGUGCACGUUUGCCCUAAACCCCCCCCAAGUUAAUUGGAGUUCCCUCCUACUCUCUGAUAGUUUACACAUGAGGUCGGAUGACUUCCAUGCUUAUUCUGGGUUUUCUUUUUUUUUUACUUUCUGUCUUUUUAAGGGCACAAAAAGUUUACCACUGUGAGAAAUCAAAAUGUGAAUAGAUUGCCAACACACCUCGUUUGAGUGUCCGUGUAAAGAAAAUGUAUGUCAUACAACUAAAAAUGUCAAAAUUAAAGGCAAAGUGCUACUCAAAAGUC